rnacentral:rRNA from 1 species
UACAGAGGUCUCAAGCGUUGUUCGGAUUCAUUGGGCGUAAAGGGUGCGUAGGCGGCGCGGUAAGUCGGGUGUGAAAUCUCGGGGCUUAACUCCGAAACUGCAUUCGAUACUGCCGUGCUUGAGGACUGGAGAGGAGACUGGAAUUUACGGUGUAGCGGUGAAAUGCGUAGAUAUCGUAAGGAAGACCAGUGGCGAAGGCGGG